UACGGAGGAUCCAAGCGUUAUUCGGAUUUAUUGGGUUUAAAGGGUGCGUAGGUGGCUUUUUAAGUCAGGGGUGAAAGACGGUAGCUUAACUAUCGCAGUGCCUUUGAUACUGAAGAGCUUGAAUAAACUAGAGGUAGGCGGAAUGUGACAAGUAGCGGUGAAAUGCAUAGAUAUGUCACAGAACACCAAUUGCGAAGGCAGCUUACUAUGGUUUUAUUGACACUGAGGCACGAAAGCGUGGGGAUCAAACAGG
rnacentral:rRNA from 1 species